rnacentral:rRNA from 1 species
UAGGGAAUUUUGCGCAAUGGACGAAAGUCUGACGCAGCAAUACCGUGUGAGGGAAGACGCUCUGUGGAGUGUAAACUUCUGUCGGAAGGGAAAAAUUUGAUGGUACCUUCAAAGGAAGCACCGGCUAACUCCGUGCCAGCAGCCGCGGUAAUACGGAGGGUGCUAGCGUUGUCCGGAUUUAUUGGGCGUAAAGCGUUUGUAGGCGGUUAUGUAAGUCUGAAGUGAAAUAAUGGAGCUCAACUCCAUCCUCGCUUUGGAAACUACAUGACUAGAGAGUGAUAGGGGUAAGUGGAAUUUCCAGUGUAGCGGUGAAAUGCGUAGAUAUUGGAAAGAACACCAGAGGCGAAGGCGGCUUACUGGGUCACAUCUGACGCUGAGAACGAAAGCUAGGGGAGCGAAGGGGAUUAGAUACCCGUGUAGUCCCUGAGCGGGCUGGCAAGGCGCAU